UAGGGAAUCUUCGGCAAUGGACGAAAGUCUGACCGAGCAACGCCGCGUGAGUGAAGAAGGUUUUCGGAUCGUAAAACUCUGUUGUUAGAGAAGAACAAGGACGUUAGUAACUGAACGUCCCCUGACGGUAUCUAACCAGAAAGCGACGGCUAACUACGUGCCAGCAGCAGCGGUAAUACGUAGGGGGCAAGCGUUGUCCGGAUAUAUUGGGCGUAAAGCGAGCGCAGGCGGUUUCUUAAGUCUGAGGUGAAAGCCCCCGGCUCAACCGGGGAGGGUCAUUGGAAACUGGGAGACUUGAGUGCAGAAGAGGAGAGUGGAAUUCCAUGUGUAGCGGUGAAAUGCGUAGAUAUAUGGAGGAACACCAGUGGCGAAGGCGGCUCUCUGGUCUGUAACUGACGCUGAGGCUCGAAAGCGUGGGGAGCAAACAGG
rnacentral:rRNA from 1 species